rnacentral:rRNA from 1 species
GAUGAACGCUGGCGGCGUGCCUAAUACAUGCAAGUCGAGCGAACAGACGAGGAGCUUGCUCCUCUGACGUUAGCGGCGGACGGGUGAGUAACACGUGGAUAACCUACCUAUAAGGCUGGGAUAACUUCGGGAAACCGGAGCUAAUACCGGAUAAUAUAUUGAACCGCAUGGUUCAAUAGUGAAAGACGGUUUUGCUGUCACUUAUAGAUGGAUCCGCGCCGCAUUAGCUAGUUGGUAAGGUAACGGCUUACCAAGGCAACGAUGCGUAGCCGACCUGAGAGGGUGAUCGGCCAAACUGGAACUGAGACACGGUCCAGACUCCUACGGGAGGCAGCAGUAGGGAAUCUUCCGCAAUGGGCGAAAGCUUGACGGAGCAACGCCGCGUGAGUGAUGAAGGUCUUCGGAUCGUAAAACUCUGUUAUUAGGGAAGAACAAAUGUGUAAGUAACUAUGCACGUCUUGACGGUACCUAAUCAGAAAGCCACGGCUAACUACGUG